rnacentral:rRNA from 1 species
UACGUAGGGUCCAAGCGUUACUCGGAAUUACUGGGCGUAAAGCGUGCGCAGGCGGUUCGCCAAGUCAGGUGUGAAAUCCCCGGGCUUAACCUGGGAACUGCGCUUGUAACUAGCGGGCUAGAGUACGGCAGAGGGGGGUGGAAUUCCACGUGUAGCAGUGAAAUGCGUAGAGAUGUGGAGGAACACCGAUGGCGAAGGCAGCCCCCUGGGCUAGUACUGACGCUCAUGCACAAAAGCGUGGGGAGCAAACAGG